CCUACGGGAGGCAGCAGUAAGGAAUAUUGGUCAAUGGGCGCAAGCCUGAACCAGCCAUGCCGCGUGCAGGAAGACGGCCCUAUGGGUUGUAAACUGCUUUUGAACAAGAGAAAACCUCGGUACGUGUACCGAGCUGAUAGUAUUGUUAGAAUAAGCAUCGGCUAACUUCGUGCCAGCAGCCGCGGUAAGACGAAGGAUGCAAGCGUUAUCCGGAUUCAUUGGGUUUAAAGGGUGCGUAGGCGGCCUGAUAAGUCAGUGGUGAAAUCUCUCAGCUUAACUGAGAAACUGCCAUUGAUACUGUCGGGCUUGAGUACAGAUGAUGUGGGCGGAAUAUGACAUGUAGUGGUGAAAUACUUAGAUAUGUCAUAGAACACCGAUUGCGAAAGGCAGCUCACAAAAACUGUAAACUGACGCUGAGGCACGAAAGUGCGGGGAUCAAACAGGAUUAGAUACCCUGGUAGUCCGCACCGUAAACGAAUGAUUACUCGUUGUUGGCAAUAUGACCGUCAGCGACCAAGCGAAAAGCGAUAAAGUAAAUCCACCCUGGGGAGUACGCCGGCGAACGGUGAAACUUAAAUAGAAAUUAGACGG
rnacentral:rRNA from 1 species